rnacentral:rRNA from 1 species
AGGUCAAGCGAACAAGGGCGCAGGGCGAAUGCCUUGGCACUGGGAGCCGAUGAAAGACGUGAUAAGCUGCGAUAAGCUUCGGGGAGCUGCAAAUAAGCAUUGAUCCGGAGAUUUCUGAAUGAGGAAACUCACCUGGGUUCAUACUCAGGUACGUUAUACUGAACUUAAAAAUAGGUAUAUCGAGGGAACCGCCUGAACUGAAACAUCUAAGUAGGGCGAGGAAGAGACAUCAAACGAGAUUCCGUAAGUAGUGGCGAGCGAACGCGGAAGAGGGCAAACCGGGAGUAGAAAUACUCCCGGGGUACGGACUGCUUUUAGGACUUAAUCUGUUAACCGAACGGCAUGGGAAGGCCGGUCAGAGAGUGUGAGAACCACGUAGGUGAAAACGACAAGAGCUGAGCGAGUUCCAGAGUACGGCCAGACACGUGAAACCUGGUCGGAAUACGGGGGGACCACCCUCCAACCCUAAAUACUACCCAGUGACCGAUAGCGUAUAGUACUGUGAAGGAAAGGUGAAAAGCACCCCGGGAGGGGAGUGAAAAAGAACCUGAAACCCUGUGCCUACAAGCACCUAGAGCACGUCAAUGUGUGAUAGGGUACUUUUUGUAGAACGGUCCGGCGAGCGAUUGUAUGCAGCAAGGUUAAGGACUUAAGGUCUGGAGCCGAAGCGAAAGCGAGUUUGAAAAGGGCGUUAAGUUGCAUACAAUGGGCCCGAAACCGGGUGACCUACCCAUGGUCAGGUUGAAGUGGAAGUAAAAUUCCAUGGAGGACCGAACCGACCUCCGUUGAAAAGGCGGCGGAUGAACUGUGGGUAGCGGAGAAAUUCCAAUCGAACCCGGAGAUAGCUGGUUCUCCCCGAAAUAGUUUUAGGACUAGCCUCAAGUUAGAUACCUGGAGGUAAAGCACUGAAUAGCCUAGCGGCCGAGAGGUUAGCGAAGCUUAUCAAACUCAGAAUGCCAGAGUAUUGAUGCUUGGGAGUCAGACAGUGUCAGAUAAAUGUCAUUGUCAAAAGGGAAACAGCCCAGAUCUACAGCUAAGGUCCCAAAGUCAGGUUAAGUGGAAAACGAUGUGAAGAUACGUAGACAACCAGGAUGUUGGCUCAGAAGCAGCCACACAUUCAAAGAGUGCGUAAUAGCUCACUGGUCGAGCGUCUUUGCGCGGAGAAUUUAACGGGGCUAAACCUGACACCGAAGCUUAGGCAAUACAGCAAUGUAUUGGGUAGGGGAGCGUUGUAUACGCGGUGAAACAGUAGCGCAAGCGGCUGUGGAGUGUAUAGAAGUGAGAAUGCCGGAAUGAGUAGCGCGAAUGCAGUGAGAAUCUGCAUGGCCGAAAGCCUCAGGUUUCUGGAGGAAGGUUCGUCCGCUCCAGGUUAGUCGGGAGCUAAGGUGAGGCCUAACGGCGUAGCCGAUGCACAGACGGUAGAGAUUCCGUCACCACCAAAAGAGUUAAACACAGGGACACAUUUGAAGUCUCGGAGCCGGGUGUUGGUUCCGGUAGCGAUCGAGGGAAGUUAGUACCGAAGUCCGGGAUGGAAGAUGGCGAGAAAAGCUGUGUGUAUUUCUGCGGUGCCCGUACCGCAAACCGACACAGGUAGGUAGGAAGAAGAUUCUAAGGCCAACGGGAGAAGGGUUGUUAAGGAACUCGGCAAAUUGACCCCGUAACUUCGGGAGAAGGGGUGCUCCAGAGAUGGAGCCGCAGAGAAUCGGCCCAAGCAACUGUUUACCAAAAACACAGGUUUGUGCUAAAUCGAAAGAUGACGUAUACGAGCUGACGCCUGCCCGGUGCUGGAAGGUUAAGAGGAGAUGUGCAAGCAUUGAAUCGAAGCCCCAGUGAACGGCGGCCGUAACUAUAACGGUCCUAAGGUAGCGAAAUUCCUUGUCAGGUAAGUUCUGACCCGCAUGAAAGGCGUAAUGAUUUGGGCACUGUCUCGACAGCCCGCCCGGCGAAAUUGUAGUACCGGUGAAGAUGCCGGUUACCCGCGACAAGACGGAAAGACCCCAUGGAGCUUUACUGUAGCCUAAUAUUGGGUUUCGAUGUUGCAUGCACAGGAUAGAUGGGACACAGGGAAACAAGUGCUUUGGCAUUUGUGGAGUGGCCGUUGGGAUACCAUCCUUGCGAUAUUGGAAUUCUAACCUGCGCCUUUGAAUCAAGGCGGGGGACAUUGUUAGGUGGGCAGUUUGACUGGGGCGGUCGCCUCCUAAAGAGUAACGGAGGCGUUCAAAGGUUCGCUCAGCUUGAACGGAAAUCAAGCAAAAGAGUGCAAACGCAGAAGCGAGCCUAACUGCGAGACUGACGGGUCGAGCAGUAACGAAAGUUGGAGUUAGUGAUCCGGUGGUAUGUGAGUGGAAAUGCCAUCGCUCAACGGAUAAAAGUUACCCUGGGGAUAACAGGCUGAUCUCCCCCAAGAGUCCACAUCGACGGGGAGGUUUGGCACCUCGAUGUCGGCUCAUCGCAUCCUGGGGCUGUAUUCGGUCCCAAGGGUUUGGCUGUUCGCCAAUUAAAGCGGUACGCGAGCUGGGUUCAGAACGUCGUGAGACAGUUCGGUCCCUAUCUGUCGUGGGCGCAGGAUAUUUGAUGGGAGCUGUUCCUAGUACGAGAGGACCGGAGCGGACGUACCUCUGGCGCACCAGUUGUUCUGCCAAGGGCAUAGCUGGGCAACUAUGUACGGAUCGGAUAAACGCUGAAAGCAUCUAAGCGUGAAGCCGACCCAAAGAUAAGAUAUCCCAUUGUUUCAAACAAGUAAGACCCCUUGAAGACUACAAGGUUGAUAGGCACGAUGUGUAAGUGGAGUGAUCCAUUCAGCAAGCGUGUACUAAUAGGUCGAGGGCUUGACCACAA